GGGCGAGCUCGGCGCGCAUCCCCGCCUCCAGUCCUGGCGCGACUUGAGGAACCGAAGCUUUAAGAACCUUCGCUCAGAGAACGCGCUCUUCGCACUCGGGGAGCUCAGCUCAGGGGCGCACCUUCCUCCCCACCCAGCAAAGCCGUGCGGGGCGCUGGACCUGGACUUUUAGACUUCUGGGAGAUGCGCAAUGAUAAGUGACUUGGGCCUUGUCAAAUUCCAAAGCCUGAAAGAACACACAAGAAUGACUGCAACCUGUCCAAGCCGUUACCAAAGCCUGCAAAUCUCACUUGUACUGUAGCCACUGCAAACAUAUCACAGGCACUGGGAGUUCAACCACGUUAAAGAAAGAGAAGAUCGGCUGGUGUAAUGAGAUCCAGGUGCAGCCUGGAUCCAUCUCCAUCUUUUCAGACACCCUCAAAAUCUUCAAAGCAGUUUAUGUACCACCUCUUCUAAGGAGCCUGCCCUGAUCUCCUGAUGGCAGUCAUAAAAUGACAUCACAAUGUUGAGAUGAUCUGUUUCCUUGUUCUUCUAUCCCAGGAUCUGUCUAUUCUGGUCUGUUGAGACCAGAAUGUAAAAGGCAUUCAAUAAUUAUGCGCUGAAUGUUGAUUGAAUUAGUCUCUCCAGUUGGAAAUAAUUCCUCUUUCCUCUGAACUCCCUUAGUACUUUGCACUGACCUCACUCAUGUAAUUUUUCACAUUUUACCUUGUACUAUAAUUUCUGUGCAUUUUAUCUCCCCAUUAGACUUAGAAUUCUUCUGCAAGAGAGAUGAGAUAAUGCAUUUAAAGUAUUAGUACCAUGUCUCUGAGUAAAUGAUAGAUAUUAUUAUUUGUGUAAUGAGGUGCCUGGAGUCAUGGACCAUAUAUUCUAUAGAAAGAAAUAGGCUGCAGAAAAUCCACCUUGGAGCAGACCUUCUUUGUUUAACAGCAAUCACUUGAGUGACUCUUCUUAGUUUUGCAACUCAAGACACCUACUACCUUGGAAGGGAAUGAUAGGAUAUCUUAAGUCUUGAAACCUCUGUUCCUAACCAUUUUCUUUGGGUAGAGAGCUAGAGCUGGUGUUAGGUAGGGGAGUUAGUGCAAAGUAGCAAAACUUCAGGGAGCAGCAGUUAUAUUGUAAUCUAUUGUGAUGGGUAUAUACUCUUUGGCGAUAUGCUCUGAGGGGGCACCCUGGGAAUAGGAUCCUGGGACCUGACUCUUUCUCUUCGAGGUUCAAGGUUAUUGAACCCCAACUGGCUUGGAAUGGUGCCUACUGAGAUCCACUGGCAGGAAAGAAGACGAAGGACUGCAGAGAAGCACUUGCCAUAAGGGAAUGGCUUUAGUGGGCUGAGGUCAGAUGCUAUCAGGAAACAAUGACUGAAUACACUGAGUGUGUACUAAGUGAGCUGAGGAGCUGAACCUUGGAGGCAAAGCUUGGAACACUCUGCAACCAGGAUAGGAUCUGGACCAGCAAUAGUAUUACCUUAUCAGUGGACAAGCCCAGUAAACUGUGAAGUAGCAGCACGCAGCCAGUAUGGUAGAAGAGAAACAAAGACACUUCCGGAUUGAUUAACUCACCGAUUUUCUUUCAACCUGGCUUUUGGAAGUAGGUCAUAAUAACCCUUUGGACUGAGGAAAUGUUUUGAAUUCUUAAAUAAUUCAGGGGAGAGAGGUAUCAGACUUUCUGCUAUUAGAGGUAUAUGGGUAGACCAGUUAACUGAAGGAUUCAAAUAGAUGUGAUUGUAUUUGAGUCACAGAAUGGUAUAUGGGAAUAUAAUGGUUUUAUCUUCUUUGUCACUAGACACCUCAGAGCAUCUGGCAUGUAAUAGUUGCUCCAUGAGACCAAGGCACCUCAAGAAGUCCACUUUGAUAAGAGAAUUGAGAAUUCAGGUUUUUCCAGACUAAAUCUGAGGAGAACACUGAGUCCUAGUUUGAAGCAGACUCCUAGCCCCACUCAGUAAUGGACCGAAUCCCCGCAAGGGCACUGUAACCAAAACGCUUUUCUGGUAUCCCUCCAGCAUUGGUCAGAAAUGCUAAGAUGGAUCCAGAACUCUCCUUCUCUCAGCAUUUCACUGCUGCUUUUUCUUAAGGGUCCAGGAGGUUGAGCUUUGUGUCUUGAUUCCAUUUCAAGUACCCAGUUCACUGUCCUAUACUAUGUGUUCUCAGUACGCUAAUGACUCACCAGGACAUGUUAAUGAUUGGUUAAGUGCAAAACUUUGAUAUUCAGAAAAUUGGAAUCAUUCAUUAUCAAGUGAUUCCAAACAAGAUAUUGGAAUGGCAAUUCAAGGAAAAUCAUUCCUUGUGAUUUUGUUUGUGUGUGAUUUUGAUUAUUAAAAAUUAAAUCUAUCAUUUCAUUAGAAGCAUUCCAUUUAUUGUAGCUUAUGAGGGGUGACAAUGUGAUUGGGAAAGCCACAUGGACCACACUCCCCUUUGUCCAGUGUAUGGAUGAAUGAGUAGAAAAAUGGGGGCAAAAAAA